AAGCCCUGUGGCAUGUGCUGUCUCAGGGUGACGGGCAGAGGACACCACACCCUUCGACAACCUGGGGCAAACAACACAGUGGAGGAGGAAGUACAGUCCUUACUUGCUUCACAACAAGUUGAGGAUUUAUGCUUUUUAUCAAAUCAAAAUGCAAACAGAGGCCAGGCGCAGUGGCUCACACUUGUAAUCCCAGCACUUUGGGAGGCUGAAGCUGGAGGAUUGCUUGAAGUCAGCAGGAGUUCAAGACCAGCCUGGGCAACAUAGUGGGACCCCAUCUCUACAAAAAAAUUUAAAAAAAAAUUAGCCACGCAUGGUGGUGCGUGCCUGUGGUCCCAGAUAC
rnacentral:lncRNA from 1 species